GACGAACGCUGGCGGCGUGCCUAAUACAUGCAAGUCGAGCGAAGUUUUUCUGGUGCUUGCACUAGAAAAACUUAGCGGCGAACGGGUGAGUAACACGUAAAGAACCUGCCUCAUAGACUGGGACAACUAUUGGAAACGAUAGCUAAUACCGGAUAACAGUAUUUCUCGCAUGAGAGAUAUUUAAAAGUUGGUUAUGCUAACACUAUGAGAUGGCUUUGCGGUGCAUUAGCUAGUUGGUGGGGUAAAGGCCCACCAAGGCGACGAUGCAUAGCCGACCUGAGAGGGUGAUCGGCCACACUGGGAUUGAGACACGGCCCAGACUCCUACGGGAGGCAGCAGUAGGGAAUCUUCCGCAAAGGGCGAAAGCCUGACGGAGCAACGCCGCGUGAGUGAAGAAGGAUUUCGGUUCGUAAAGCUCUGUUGUUAGGGAAGAAUGGAUAUGUAGUAACUAUACAUGUAAGAGACGGUACCUAACCAGAAAGCCACGGCUAACUACGUG
rnacentral:rRNA from 1 species